rnacentral:rRNA from 1 species
UACAGAGGUCUCAAGCGUUGUUCGGAUUCAUUGGGCGUAAAGGGUGUGUAGGUGGCGCGCUAAGUCUGGUGUGAAAUUUCGGAGCUUAACUCCGAAACUGCAUUCGAUACUGGCGUGCUUGAGGACUGGAGAGGAGACUGGAAUUCAUGGUGUAGCAGUGAAAUGCGUAGAGAUCAUGAGGAAGACCAGUGGCGAAGGCGGGUCUCUGGACAAAUCCUGACGCUGAGGCGCGAAGGCUAGGGGAGCAAACGGG